UACGUAGGGUGCGAGCGUUUAAUCGGAAUUACUGGGCGUAAAGUGUGCGCAGGUGGCCGCGCAUGUCGAGUGUGAAAUCCCCGGGCUCAACCUGGGAAUUGCAUUUGUGACUGCACGGCUAGAGUGUGUCAGAGGGGGGUAGAAUUCCACGUGUAGCAGUGAAAUGCGUAGAGAUGUGGAGGAAUACCGAUGGCGAAGGCAGCCCCCUGGGAUAACACUGACGCUCAUGCACGAAAGCGUGGGGAGCAAACAGG
rnacentral:rRNA from 1 species